rnacentral:rRNA from 1 species
UUGGCUCACCAAGGCGACGACGGGUAGCCGGCCUGAGAGGGCGACCGGCCACACUGGGACUGAGACACGGCCCAGACUCCUACGGGAGGCAGCAGUGGGGAAUAUUGGGCAAUGGGCGAAAGCCUGACGCAGCAACGCCGCGUGCGGGAUGAAGGCCUUCGGGUUGUAAACCGCUUUCAGCAGGGAAGAAGCGAAAGUGACGGUACCUGCAGAAGA